GGAUGUGAGGGCACCUGGCUGCAGCAUCUGUCACCCCACUGGUCUCCAGGGUUGACUCAGCUGAUCUGGCUGGCUAGGCCUGUGUCCCCUUCCUCACCAUUUCCUGUGUUGGCGCUCCAAGAACUAUGCCUUCAGUGCAAGAGGAUGACCUUCCCUAAGGAGAAGAGGACAGGGGGUCGGUCAAGGGUCUACAACAGCUAUGUCCUCUGCCAAAACCUCAAGACGAGCUCUUGAAGUGAGAGUCCCCUGA
rnacentral:sRNA from 14 species